CCUACGGGCGGCAGCAGUGAGGAAUAUUGGUCAAUGGACGCAAGUCUGAACCAGCCAUGCCGCGUGCAGGAAGACGGCCCUAUGAGUUGUAAACUGCUUUUGUACGAGGGUAAACGCAGAUACGCGUAUCUGUCUGAACGUAUCGUACGAAUAAGGAUCGGCUAACUCCGUGCCAGCAGCCGCGGUCAUACGUAGGAUCCGAGGAUUAUCCGGAGUGACUGGGUGUAAAGAGUUGCGUAGAUGGCAUACUAAGUAUCUAGUGAAAUCUGGUGGCUCAACCAUUCGGUCUAUUAGCUAAACUGCUGAGCUCGAGAGCGUUAGGAGUAAGUGGAAUUUCUAGUGUAGGAGUGAAAUCCGUAGAUAUUAGAAAGAACACCAAUAGCGAAGGCAGGUUGCUGGGACGGUACUGACACUGAGGCACGAAAGCGUAGGGAGCAAACGGGAUUAGAUACCCGUGUAGUC
rnacentral:rRNA from 1 species